UGGUAUAUAUGCCACUGAUAAUUUGGUAGAUCCAGUCAACAUGUAAGAAUAAUGAAGACACUGGAUAUCGUUAGAUCGUGGAAGCUCCUCGCUUAUCAAGUAGUCUGUAGCUGUACGGUACGCACUGGCCCUUUGAAAUGGAUGAUCACUGAGGACUCGUAUUGGAAGUGAUAAACUGAUGGAAUAUUUCGGCUCACUGAAAUCAAAAGCUGAGACAUUUACCUACCUAGAUGUCUUCCUAACACAUGACUGAUGAUUAACGUUUGGAGAAACACCAUACAAAGGAGCAACGCUUCCAUUUCUCUGUGAAAAUCCUUAUUUUUCUUCUUUUUAGUUGCUGAGCUCAGUAUUAGAAAAUUUGAAUAUGAAUAUAUUUUCAAUAAGUACCUGUAUUACUAAAAAUUAAUUUGAACUGAUUAAUUAUAACUUCAUUUACAUUAUAUCAAAUGUCUAUGGCAAUGACAUUAAUAUAACUGAUAAUAAUUUACUUAGCUUUUC